rnacentral:lncRNA from 13 species
GAAUUCAGAGAAUCGGAGAGAGUUUUAUGCCCAAAAAUAUUAAGAAUGCAAAUAUAUGCUUAGCACACUUCACAGAAGAUUUGUUUGUGAGAAGUAAAAAGAUUCGACCUCCUAUGGACAUUCGAAGACAGUCGCUUUUGCCGAGUGCAGUUCCAACAUUAUUGUUACCAAAAA